rnacentral:lncRNA from 1 species
CUGAAAGGAAGGAAGGCAGGGACUACCCUGGUCUAGUUCUCUCACUCUCUUAUCCCCAGAGGCUGGCAUAUAAGAGACAAUAAAUAUUUGUUGAACGAAGGACUGAGACUCAGAAUAAAGGACCAAAAGGCUCUUGGAACCCUUCCUUUCAGGAAAUGUUUCCGACCGGAAGGCUUUCUCGCGAACACCUUCCCCCUUUUUUGCCAGUCGGAGUCCAAUGGUCGCCCUAGGGCUCCUAGAAGAUCAAGUCCCGCCAUUCUUUCAGUCCCUAUGAGCGGGCUCCUGGGCGACUGCCCCUCCUUCCGCACGGAGGGAAGGAGCCACGCUCUGCGUCGCGGUCCCGGAACCUGAGGACGGCUCGCUGAGAGGGGAGGGUCCUCCAGAGAGAGCCUGUGGCACUGCUCCUCUGGAUUCAGCAAUGACCCUGAGUUUUUUCUCACCAGUGGAUUCUCCUGCUCUCAUCAUGAACCCCUCCCCUGAUUUGGACCCCUUCUUUUCUCCCCUCUGGCCUCCAUGAUCAUCUCCUUUCCUGAGUCAAGGCAGAUACCUGGGAGGGCAUACCCUAUGCCUGGACAUCUACAGUGUGUGAGUUUCCGGCCGGAGUACUUUCCUGCUGCUCUCCGAAUCCUGAAGCUGGGCAGUCCCUGCCUCCUGCUCCAGAAGGCGGAGCAUCCCCAGAAGUCACCCUUUCGGCCACCUCCGGACCCAAAAAUUUGCUGCGUCUGGAUACGGAGGCAGGGCGGGGGUCAGAGGAGUGAACAGGCUCGGGAGCUGUGGCAUUCUUAGAGUCCUGGCCGAUGGAGCAGGGAGGGAGCUGGGUGUGGGCCUGUGUGGCCCCCAGGGCAGUGGGUGUUGAAGACUGAGAAGCCUUGUGAGGCAGGGUUGGGGAGGGGCUGCCGAGACCAGGGGGUGAGGUCUAGAGAGAGAGCAGAAAGCGAGGAGUGGUUUACUUGGGCCCCAGUUGACCCAGAGACUCAGACCUGAGAUUCACUUUACUCCCCAAGCGGGAGAAGGGGUUGUUGCUUCGGAAAGCAAGAUAAGUGGGGCGAAUAGUGGACCUUAGAGGGGGUCAUCCAGGAAAGAUUCCUGAAGGAGGCAGGGCCCAGGCUGCAGGCUGGGGAGGCUUUGGGCAGCAGGAGGGAGGAGAGGGUGCUGGAGUAGGGAUCACUCUGCCACUCUCCCUGGAGAUCCGAGGUAAGCCUCUGGCCCUUUCGGGAGCUCAGUGGGUGCUUCUUUUUGCCAGCCUCCCAGGACUGUUGAGAAGAUUAAGCAAGACCCUGGAUAUGAAUGCUCAGUGUGAACUGAAAUUCAGGGGACAUGAGUAAACUGUCACAAAUGAGUCUGGAGGAUGAGAGAGAUUGCUGGGGCCCAGGUGUUUAUUUGGUAGUAUUGGGGGUGGGGGUGGAAUGGAAAUCCCAGACAGAGCAUGAGCCAAGGCACAGUGUCCCAAAAUUUGAGGUGUGAAUGGAGAAGUCAGCAUGAUCCAUUGCAGCUGUCUGGUCAGGGUUGAGUGAGGGCCGGGGUGAGAAAGGUAGUUGAGGCCAGGUUGUGAGAGGCCUUGAAUGCCAGGCUAAGGGGUUUAUAGUGUAGGCAGGACCCUGGGAGGAUUUUAAGCAGAGGUGGUGUUAGAAAGAUCCUUCUGGAGCUGGUGGACUGGUGAGUGGCGCGUACAGGUGAUGCCUAGCCAGCCUGGUGGGGGGGGUCAGAGGACAUAGGAUUCCAGAAGGCUAAGGAGGAGGUAGCCACUAGAGGAAAGGGGAAGAAUUGCCAGUCAGAGGAGAACACAGAAGCCUUUGGAUGUAGAACUGUGCAAACUCAAGUUCUGGCCGGGGGCUCUGAGAUGCUGUGUGUGGUUGGAACACAGGAAUGAGAAGUGGGGUGGAGGUGUGGGCGGACCACCUCACAAAUGGCCUCUGAUUCCAAGCUGAGGAACUUGGGCUUGGUCCUGAGGGUAACAGGGGACAUGGAAAGGUUUUGAAUGGUGCAGAAGUCACAUUCAACACAGCUGUGAGAAGAAUCUUGGGCUUGUAUGGGAUGAGAACUGGAGGUCAGGAUUCCAAGAAGUGGAUGGAGGGGCGGUUUGCUGGAAACCAGGGUUUGCGCUGGGGUGGCUGUGGCGGCUGUGGCGGUGGCAUUGAGGAGAAGUGUGAAGUGCUUGCCAGCAGGGGUCACAUGCACUGACUCAGGUCAGGGAUGUGUGACCUUAGGCCAAUCACACCAUCUCUCUGAGCUUCUGUUUCCUUAUCUGUAAACUAGGGAUUCUAAUGGAACUCACCUGGUAGGUCUGCUCUGCAGGUAUAAUGAAUUUAGGCAUGGCUGGUCCUGAGUAAGGGCUCAAUAAAUGUUGGUCAUUGUUGUCAUUAUUUCUGGGGAUAGUGGUGGGGG